GCAAGUCGAACGAGAAGUCAGGCGCUUGCGCUUGAUAGAAAGUGGCGAACGGGUGCGUAACACGUAUGCAACCUACCUUUAACAGGAGGAUAGCCCGGAGAAAUCCGGAUUAAUACUCCAUAUCGUAAUGAAGUGGCAUCACUUUAUUAUGAAAGCUCCGGCGGUUAAAGAUGGGCAUGCGUUCCAUUAGUUAGUUGGUGAGGUAACGGCUCACCAAGACCACGAUGGAUAGGGGGUCUGAGAGGAUGAUC
rnacentral:rRNA from 1 species